GUGUCAGCCGCCGCGGUAAGACGUAGGAGGCGAGCGUUAUCCGGAUUCACUGGGCGUAAAGCGCAUGUAGGCGGUUGGACAAGUCGUGUGUUAAAGCCCCUGGCUCAACUGGGGGAGGUCAUGCGAGACUGUGCGACUUGAGGGCAAGAGAGGCACGUGGAACUCCCGGUGUAGCGGUGGAAUGCGUAGAGAUCGGGAAGAACACCAGUGGCGAAGGCGACGUGCUGGGUUGCACCUGACGCUGAGAUGCGAAAGUGUGGGGAGCAAACGGGAUUAGAUACCCCCGUAGUCC
rnacentral:rRNA from 1 species